rnacentral:rRNA from 1 species
CCUACGGGAGGCAGCAGUGAGGAAUAUUGGUCAAUGGGCGCGAGCCUGAACCAGCCAAGUCGCGUGAAGGAUGACUGCCCUACGGGUUGUAAACUUCUUUUAUAAAGGAAUAAAGUGAGGCACGUGUGCCUUUUUGUAUGUACUUUAUGAAUAAGGAUCGGCUACCUCCGGGCCAGCAGCCGCGUUAAUACGGAGGAUCCGAGCGUUAUCCGGAUUUAUUGGGUUUAAAGGGAGCGUAGAUGGGUUGUUAAGUCAGUGGUGAAAGUUGGCGGCUAAACCGUAAAAUUGCAAUUGAUACUGGCAGCCUUGAGUACAGUUGAGGUAGGCGGAAUGCGUGGUGUAGCGGUGAAAUGCUUAGAUAGCACGAAGAACUCCGAUUGCGAAGGCAGCCUACCAAACUGCCACUGACAUUGAUGCUCGAAAGUGUGGGUAUCAAACAGGAUUAGAUACCCGAGUAGUC